GUCGCUUUGUUUUGAUUGACAAUGGAGCCUUUACUCGCCCUGCUAAUAAAUUAAAAAUGAUGUCCAGUACACAAGAUAUAGACGAUGGGUCAUACAAGCCACUCAUACAAAUAAUCGACCCAGUUGUUCCUGAAGAAUGUGCAACAAUUACUGUGGAGGAAGAUGGCAGUGGCAACAUUCAAAACAAGGUGAAGUUAUGGAAUCUCUUCCUGGAAAACAUAAAGAAAGAAGUCAUAUUUUGGUCAUGUUUAU